rnacentral:tRNA from 1 species
AGUCCUGUAGUUUAAUAUAUAAAAUUUUAAGGUGCAAACUUAAGGAAAGCUGUUGUGCUCUGGACUU